rnacentral:rRNA from 1 species
GACGAACGCUGGCGGCGUGCUUAACACAUGCAAGUCGAACGGAAAGGCCCUGCUUUUGUGGGGUGCUCGAGUGGCGAACGGGUGAGUAACACGUGAGUAACCUGCCCUUGACUUUGGGAUAACUUCAGGAAACUGGGGCUAAUACCGGAUAGGAGCUCCUGCUGCAUGGUGGGGGUUGGAAAGUUUCGGCGGUUGGGGAUGGACUCGCGGCUUAUCAGCUUGUUGGUGGGGUAGUGGCUUACCAAGGCUUUGACGGGUAGCCGGCCUGAGAGGGUGACCGGCCACAUUGGGACUGAGAUACGGCCCAGACUCCUACGGGAGGCAGCAGUGGGGAAUAUUGCACAAUGGGCGGAAGCCUGAUGCAGCAACGCCGCGUGCGGGAUGACGGCCUUCGGGUUGUAAACCGCUUUCGCCUGUGACGAAGCGUGAGUGACGGUAAUGGGUAAAGAAGCACCGGCUAACUACGUGCCAGCAGCCGCGGCGAUACGUAGGGUGCGAGCGUUGUCCGGAUUUAUUGGGCGUAAAGGGCUCGUAGGUGGUUGAUCGCGUCGGAAGUGUAAUCUUGGGGCUUAACCCUGAGCGUGCUUUCGAUACGGGUUGACUUGAGGAAGGUAGGGGAGAAUGGAAUUCCUGGUGGAGCGGUGGAAUGCGCGGAUAUCAGGAGGAACACCAGUGGCGAAGGCGGUUCUCUGGGCCCUUCCUGACGCUGAGGAGCGAAAGCGUGGGGAGCGAACAGGCUUAGAUACCCUGGUAGUCCACGCUGUAAACGGUGGGUACUAGGUGUGGGGUCCAUUCCACGGGUUCCGUGCCGUAGCUAACGCUUUAAGUACCCCGCCUGGGGAGUACGGCCGCAAGGCUAAAACUCAAAGGAAUUGACGGGGCCCCGCACAAGCGGCGGAGCAUGCGGAUUAAUUCGAUGCAACGCGUAGAACCUUACCUGGGUUUGACAUGGAUCGGGAGUGCUCAGAGAUGGGUGUGCCUCUUUUGGGGUCGGUUCACAGGUGGUGCAUGCCUGUCGUCAGCUCGUGUCGUGAGAUGUUGGGUUAAGUCCCGCAACGAGCGCAACCCUUGUUCACUGUUGCCAGCACGUUAUGGUGGGGACUCAGUGGAGACCGCCGGGGUCAACUCGGAGGAAGGUGGGGAUGACGUCAAGUCAUCAUGCCCCUUAUGUCCAGGGCUUCACGCAUGCUACAAUGGCUGGUACAGAGAGUGGCGAGCCUGUGAGGGUGAGCGAAUCUCGGAAAGCCGGUCUCAGUUCGGAUUGGGGUCUGCAACUCGACCUCAUGAAGUCGGAGUCGCUAGUAAUCGCAGAUCAGCAACGCUGCGGUGAAAACGUUCCCGGGGCU